UACAGUUUUGUUUAUAAUUAGUGAAGAGAUGAAAAUAAUGAAACUGUAUGGUGCAGAAAGUGUUUUUUUCAUUGCAGUUUCUGCUGCUGGGAAAGCGGUAGAUCACUAUGGCUUCUGUACCGUGAAAUGAAGCUUAUGAUAAAUAAAAUACUGCUGCUUGCUGGUCACUGAUUGAAGAUCGUUCAGUGGCUACCAUUGGCCAAUCUCACCAACGGGAUAUAAUAAGAACUGAUGCAGGUUUAUAUCUAUAUGUAUUGUCUAUUCGGAACAAAGUUAGUACGCUUUUUAAACCGAUGUUGGAUUUUUCUCCAGAUACAGGCAACCCACUUAACUUUGGAAGUAGUGCGCUGGAUUCGUCUAAAGAUAUGCUAAACAACCGGAGGAAAAUAAAAUAAUUUGUAAAACAAUUAAUUGUAUUGUAUUUUUAUUGGAAUAUUGGAGUAUAAUGUAUUCUAAAUCCUGUUGUAUUUCUAUUGUAAAACAAUAGAAACAGUAAUUGAAAACAUUUAAAACACAAUGUUUUCUAUUGUUUUGUCGCUCGAAAUCAUCCCAUUGAAGAACCGUAAAAUCAAUUGUUUUGCUCCGAAUUUUGUAUGGAAAAUUUUCGAUUUUUUUUAUUGUAAAGAUACAUAACAACCCCCCUUUUUAAUUGUAAAAGUCCCAUUUACCAUUCAUUUUAUCGUGGAAAACCAUUAUUUCUCAUGUGAUUUUAUUGUCAAAAUUCCAUUAUAUUCAAUGGUAAAAAUUAUGUUUUAAAUGGUGUUGUAACAAUAAAAUUUAUGAUAUUUUAAUGAUAUUUUUUA